CGCCACUGCUACAUAACCCGCGAACAGGCAUACUCUGGGAACGAGAUUGGUGCAAGACAUACAACAAGGCAACGCUGACUCAUAUUAGAUAUAACAUAUUGAAAGUAACAAUACAUGUAACCCUCAAUUUUCUUCAUGAAUUAUUGCUAGCCAUAGCAACAGGCUAUACUAUGCAAAUUUUCAAUGAUUUGCAUUUUGCAUUAUUCAAACCUUUAGAAAUGUAUUGUCCGUAACUUAUUUAGACGCAGGUUUAUUAGCAUAGCAUGACCAGUUGCCAUGGCUAGCUUCCCCACUGUGACAUUUAUCUAGGAACAAGAAAAUUAUGCUACAUCUCAUAAUUUAUUAUUAAUUAAGUAGAAAAGUACAAUGUUCAGAUGCUAUAAUGAUGUAUGUGGUCUACGAUAAUGAUUGCUAGUACGAAUGUGUAUAUCUUUUAGCGGAAGCUUAAUAAUCUUCAAACGUUUUUGUUCUCAUACAACCAGUUCGUCUAGGUUUAAAGCAGACGAGGACUGAUCC